CAGCAGCCACGGGAAAACGAAGGGGGCUAGCGUUGCUCGGAAUGACUGGGCGUAAAGGGCGCGUAGGCGGUUUUGACAGUCAGAUGUGAAAUUCCUGGGCUUAACCUGGGGGCUGCAUUUGAGACGUCAAGACUAGAGUGUGAGAGAGGGUUGUGGAAUUCCCAGUGUAGAGGUGAAAUUCGUAGAUAUUGGGAAGAACACCGGUGGCGAAGGCGGCAACCUGGCUCAUUACUGACGCUGAGGCGCGAAAGCGUGGGGAGCAAACAGGAUUAGAUACCCGCGUAGUCCCUGUCUCUUAUAC
rnacentral:rRNA from 1 species